rnacentral:rRNA from 1 species
AGCAGCCGCGGUAAUUCCAGCUCCAAUAGCGUAUAUUAAAGUUGUUGCAGUUAAAAAGCUCGUAGUUGAAUUUCGAGACCGGCUUACUGGUCGUGCUAUUGUACGUACUGGUAUAAUCGGUUUCUCCUUUCUGACGAACUAUAAUGCCAUUAAUUUGGUGUUUUAGGGAAUCAGGACUGUUACUUUGAAAAAAUUAGAGUGUUUAAAGCAGGCUCACGCUUGAAUACAUUAGCAUGGAAUAACGGAAUAGGACGUUUGAUUCUAUUUUGUUGGUUUCUAGGAUCGACGUAAUGAUUAAUAGGGAUAGUUGGGGGCAUUAGUAUUCAAUUGUCAGAGGUGAAAUUCUUGGAUUUAUUGAAGACUAACUACUGCGAAAGCAUUUGCCAAGGAUGUUUUCAUUAAUCAAGAACGAAAGUUAGGGGAUCGAAGACGAUCAGAUACCGUCGUAGUCUUAACCAUAAACUAUGCCGACUAGGGAUCGGAUGAUGUUAAUUUUUUAAUGUACUCAUUCGGCGCCUUA